CCUUCCUCCAAGGCCCUGCCGAGUGGGGUAGCCACAGACCCCUACGCGUCUCCCCCUCUCCUACCCCUGUCAUUGCGUCUGAGUCACCCCUCUCCCAAAGACCAGGGUGCAUCAGGAAUCUCUGCACCCACAAAUCUGGGUGGUGUUCGGAGACGCAGCUUCUGCCGCAUUGCUAUUGUGUGUGUGGAGGUGAGAAGACAGCUUUCAGGGGUCAACUUUCACCCUCCACCAUGUGCCUCCCCGGGGACUGGACUCGGGGCAUCAGACUUGGCAGCCAUCGCCUUGACCCACUGAGCCCUGGAUUGCAGUGUGCGAGCCCGGGCGACGGCCCAGAGACUGACGGCAGUCACGGGCGCUUUCAGUGCUCCCUGGGAAUACAGCUCUUCCUGGUCUGUCCCAAACACGCAGGGCCGACGAGAUGGCUCACGGUAAAGGAGCCCACCGCCAAGCCUGACGAGCCAGGUUCAGUCUCCAGGACCCACA